rnacentral:lncRNA from 1 species
AGAUAGACUGUGAUACCACCAGCAGGUCACUUAAGGAAAAGCAGACACUUAAGGACAGAAGACACCAGCAGAUACUUAAGAAAAAUGAAUCAGGAGGAAAAUGCCUACAAAACGUUGCUUUCUCUUUGUGGAGCAAAAAACAAAGCACACUGAAAUUAAAGGCAAUCUGAAGGCCUCACCAAUUUUAAAAAUCCCACGCUUAAUAAACAAAGAUAGACAAAGGAACAUAUAUGCCUCCUCAUGAGCCACACUGUUUCUCUCUGGUCACUACCACAGUCUGUGCUGAGUCAAACCUACUAGUGCAGUCAAUUGAGCAAAAACCAAGUUGUUCAUUACAGGAAAUGAAGAAUUGGUAUAUUGUCCAAGAUGAUUAUUGUAUUGUUCCUCCUGAUGGAACUGACUGACAAAUUAUUCUGCAUCCAGCUGAUGAAAGAACAGUAUAGAUAUGCUUAGCAUGACAUUGGAGAAAAAAAAAAAAAAAGAAAAAAAAAAGAGGUCUCCUUCCCUCUGGCAACAGUAUAUUACAACAAUAAUAAAACAGAAACUAUAUGCUUUUGCUUUAUUGCA